UACAGAGGGUGCGAGCGUUGUUCGGAAUUAUUGGGCGUAAAGGGCGCGUAGGCGGUGCCACAAGUCACUUGUGAAAUCCCCAGGCUUAACCUGGGGCCUGCAGGCGAAACUGUGGUGCUGGAGUGUGGGAGAGGUGUGUGGAACUUCCGGUGGAGCGGUGAAAUGUGUUGAUAUCGGAAGGAACGCCGGUGGCGAAAGCGACACACUGGAUCUUGUCUGACGCUGAGGCACGAAAGCCAGGGGAGCGAACGGG
rnacentral:rRNA from 1 species